AUUGAACGCUGGCGGCAGGCUUAACACAUGCAAGUCGAGCGGAGCGAGGGUGCUUGCACCUUAGCUUAGCGGCGGACGGGUGAGUAAUGCUUAGGAAUCUGCCUAUUAGUGGGGGACAACAUUCCGAAAGGGAUGCUAAUACCGCAUACGCCCUACGGGGGAAAGCAGGGGAUCUUCGGACCUUGCGCUAAUAGAUGAGCCUAAGUCGGAUUAGCUAGUUGGUGGGGUAAAGGCCUACCAAGGCGACGAUCUGUAGCGGGUCUGAGAGGAUGGUCCGCCACACUGGGACUGAGACACGGCCCAGACUCCUACGGGAGGCAGCAGUGGGGAAUAUUGGACAAUGGGCGGAAGCCUGAUCCAGCCAUGCCGCGUGUGUGAAGAAGGCCUUUUGGUUGUAAAGCACUUUAAGCGAGGAGGAGGCUCUUAAGGUUAAUACCCUUGAUGAGUGGACGUUACUCGCAGAAUAAGCACCGGCUAACUCUGUGCCAGCCGCCGCAGUAAGAC
rnacentral:rRNA from 1 species